rnacentral:tRNA from 1 species
GGUUCUAUAGUGAAGUGGUUAUCACAUCUGCUUUAUACACUAGAAGGUCCUGGGUUCAAGUCUUGGUGGAACCA